rnacentral:lncRNA from 1 species
CUGGCGUCCGUUUGUAUUUACGGCCCAAUUUGGUGCUCUCUGAGGUAGGCUCCUCUCUCGAAGUUUCCUUUUCUGCUAUUUGAAUGUCCAGGUAUCAGGCCAGUGCCGAAUACCUCACAAAGUCACAUACUCCAGGAUCCUACACCCUCGCCUAACCACCGUGAACGUUCAUGCUCCAACAGAUCACAUGAUUCAGCAAAACUUCCUAGGCGAGCUCUUCUCUGUCUCACCCUAUUCAAACUCGCAAUGGAUCAUACUUCUCCCUUUCUAAAUGUAAGUCUUAGAUUUUAUUACAAACAACGUAUAGAUUAUAUAGAUGCAUUUUAGAGUAUAGAUUCAUGUAUUUUGU